UACGUAGGGUGCAAGCGUUGUCCGGAAUUAUUGGGCGUAAAGAGCUCGUAGGCGGUUUGUCGCGUCUGCUGUGAAAACUCGGGGCUUAACCCCGGGCCUGCAGUGGGUACGGGCAGACUAGAGUGCGGUAGGGGAGACUGGAAUUCCUGGUGUAGCGGUGAAAUGCGCAGAUAUCAGGAGGAACACCGGUGGCGAAGGCGGCGACCUGGGUAGAUACUGACGCUGAGGUGCGAAAGCGUGGGGAGCGAACAGG
rnacentral:rRNA from 1 species